rnacentral:rRNA from 1 species
ACACGACUACAUUAGAUACCCGUGUAGUCCCAGCCCUAAACGAUGCGCGUUAGGUGUAUCGGUGACCACGAGUCACCGAGGUGCCGAAGGGAAACCGUGAAACGUGCCGCCUGGGAAGUACGGUCGCAAGGCUGAAACUUAAAGGAAUUGGCGGGGGAGCACCACAACGGGUGGAGCUUGCGGUUUAAUUGGAUUCAACGCCGGAAAUCUUACCGGGACCGACAGCAACAUGAAGGCCAGGCUGAAGACUUUGCCGGAUUAGCUG